UGGGGAAUAUUGCACAAUGGAGGGAACUCUGAUGCAGCGACGCCGCGUGAACGAAGAAGGCUUUCGAGUCGUAAAGUUCUUUUAUAUGGGAAGAUAAUGACGGUACCAUAAGAAAAAGCCCCGGCUAACUACGUGCCAGCAGCCGCGGUAAUACAUAGGGGGCUAGCGUUGUCCGGAAUCACUGGGCGUAAAGGGUUCGCAGGCGGAAACGCAAGUCAGGUGUAAAAGGCAGUAGCUUAACUACUGUAAGCAUUUGAAACUGCAUAUCUUGAGAAGAGUAGAGGUAAGUGGAAUUUUUAGUGUAGCGGUGAAAUGCGUAGAUAUUAAAAAGAAUACCGGUGGCGAAGGCGACUUACUGGGCUCAUUCUGACGCUGAGGAACGAAAGCGUGGGUAGCAAACAGG
rnacentral:rRNA from 1 species